rnacentral:rRNA from 1 species
UACGAAGGGUGCAAGCGUUACUCGGAAUUACUGGGCGUAAAGCGUGCGUAGGUGGUUUCUUAAGUCUGCUGUGAAAGCCCCGGGCUCAACCUGGGAAUUGCAGUGGAUACUGGGGAGCUAGAGUGCGGUAGAGGGUAGUGGAAUUCCCGGUGUAGCGGUGAAAUGCGUAGAGAUCGGGAGGAACACCAGUGGCGAAGGCGGCUACCUGGACCAACACUGACACUGAGGCACGAAAGCGUGGGGAGCAAACAGG